GGAGAGGUGCCCGGAGUGGUUCAUCGGGGAUCGGAGCUCUGGCUCUGGUCGGGUGCAAGCCUGCGCAGGUUCGAAUCCUGCCUUCUCCG
rnacentral:tRNA from 1 species